rnacentral:rRNA from 1 species
AAUCAACGCUGGCGGCGUGCCUAACACAUGCAAGUCGAACGCGAGAGUCCCGCAAGGGACAAUUGAGUGGCAAACGGGUGAGUAACACGUGGGUGACCUGCCUUCGAGUGGGGGAUAACGUCCCGAAAGGGACGCUAAUACCGCAUGACAUCCUGCCUUUGGACAGGCGGAGAUCAAAGCCGGGGAUCGCAAGACCUGGCGCUUGAAGAGGGGCCCGCGUCUGAUUAGCUAGUGGUGAGGUAACGGCUCACCAAGGCGACGAUCAGUAUCCGGCCUGAGAGGGCGGACGGACACACUGGGACUGAGACACGGCCCAGACUCCUACGGGAGGCAGCAGUGGGGAAUUGUUCGCAAUGGGCGCAAGCCUGACGACGCAACGCCGCGUGGAGGACGAAGAUCUUCGGGUCGUAAACUCCUGUCGAGU